GUGGGGAAUUUUGGACAAUGGGCGCAAGCCUGAUCCAGCAAUGCCGCGUGUGUGAAGAAGGCCUUCGGGUUGUAAAGCACUUUUGGCAGGAAAGAAAUAGUGCGUGCUAAUACCAUGCGCGAAUGACGGUACCUGCAGAAUAAGCACCGGCUAACUACGUGCCAGCAGCCGCGGUAAGACGUAGGGUGCAAGCGUUAAUCGGAAUUACUGGGCGUAAAGCGUGCGCAGGCGGUUUUGUAAGACAGGUGUGAAAUCCCCGGGCUCAACCUGGGAACUGCACUUGUGACUGCAAGGCUAGAGUGUGUCAGAGGGAGGUGGAAUUCCGCGUGUAGCAGUGAAAUGCGUAGAGAUGCGGAGGAACACCGAUGGCGAAGGCAGCCUCCUGGGAUAACACUGACGCUCAGGCACGAAAGCGUGGGGAGCAAACAGGAUUAGAUACCCUGGUAGUCC
rnacentral:rRNA from 1 species